rnacentral:rRNA from 1 species
GAUGAACGCUGGCGGCGUGCCUAAUACAUGCAAGUCGAGCGAACAGACGAGGAGCUUACUCCUCUGACGUUAGCGGCGGACGGGUGAGUAACACGUGGAUAACCUACCUAUAAGACUGGGAUAACUUCGGGAAACCGGAGCUAAUACCGGAUAACAUGUUGAACCGCAUGGUUCAACAGUGAAAGACGGUCUUGCUGUCACUUAUAGAUGGAUCCGCGUCGCAUUAGCUAGUUGGUAAGGUAACGGCUUACCAAGGCAACGAUGCGUAGCCGACCUGAGAGGGUGAUCGGCCACACUGGAACUGAGACACGGUCCAGACUCCUACGGGAGGCAGCAGUAGGGAAUCUUCCGCCAUGGGCGAAAGCCUGACGGAGCAACGCCGCGUGAGUGAAGAAGGUCUUCGGAUCGUAAAACUCUGUUAUUAGGGAAGAACAAAUGUGUAAGUAACUAUGCACGUCUUGACGGUACCUAAUCAGAAAGCCACGGCUAACUACGUG